UACGGAGGGUGCGAGCGUUGUCCGGAAUCACUGGGCGUAAAGGGCGCGUAGGCGGCUUGGGGAAGUCCGUGGUGAAAGCUCGUGGCUCAACUGCGAGUCGGCCAUGGAUACUCCUAAGCUCGAGCACUGUAGAGGCAGGUGGAAUUCCGGGUGUAGCGGUGGAAUGCGUAGAGAUCCGGAAGAACACCGGUGGCGAAGGCGGCCUGCUGGGCAGUAGCUGACGCUGAGGCGCGACAGCGUGGGGGAGCAAACAGG
rnacentral:rRNA from 1 species